UACGGGGGGGGUAAGCGUUGUUCGGAAUUACUGGGCGUAAAGGGCUCGUAGGCGGCCAACUAAGUCAUACGUGAAAUCCCUCAGCUUAACUGGGGAACUGCGUGUGAUACUGGAAGACUUGAGUAUAGUUGAGGUAGGCGGAAUUGACAGUGUAGCGGUGAAAUGCAUAGAUAUUGUCAAGAACACCGAUUGCGAAGGCAGCUUACUAAACUAUAACUGACGCUGAGGCACGAAAGUGCGGGGAGCAAACAGG
rnacentral:rRNA from 1 species